rnacentral:rRNA from 1 species
CUACGGAGGGUCCAAGCGUUAUCCGGAAUCAUUGGGUUUAAAGGGUCCGCAGGCGGUCAAUUAAGUCAGAGGUGAAAGCCCAUCGCUCAACGAUGGAACUGCCUUUGAUACUGGUUGACUUGAGUUAUACGGAAGUAGAUAGAAUAAGUAGUGUAGCGGUGAAAUGCAUAGAUAUUACCUAGAAUACCGAUUGCGAAGGCAGUCUACUACGUAUAUACUGACGCUGAGGGACGAAAGCGUGGGGAGCGAACAGGAUUAGAAACCCUGGUAGUCC